rnacentral:tRNA from 1 species
GUGGGCACAGCUCAGUGGCAGAGUGCCUGCUUAGCACCCACGAGGUCCUGGGUUCAAUCCCCAGUACCUCCA